UACGUAGGGCGCAAGCGUUAUCCGGAAUUAUUGGGCGUAAAGCGCGCGCAGGCGGUUUCUUAAGUCUGAUGUGAAAGCCCACGGCUCAACCGUGGAGGGUCAUUGGAAACUGGGGAACUUGAGUGCAGAAGAGAAAAGCGGAAUUCCACGUGUAGCGGUGAAAUGCGUAGAGAUGUGGAGGAACACCAGUGGCGAAGGCGGCUUUUUGGUCUGUAACUGACGCUGAGGAGCGAAAGCGUGGGGAGCGAACAGG
rnacentral:rRNA from 1 species